UCGUGUUCGACGCGCAGUCCGGUUAGUUGUUUUUCUCCGUGCGCACGCGAGUUUUCGUUCAUCUCUUUCGCCAGUGCGUUCCCUGCUCGCGUUGUGAUAUAUAUCGUCGUUGUAUCGCUUCUCUCGCAGUCUGCCUGUCCGUUCGUCCGUACGUCGCACGGAAUUGCGGUCACCGUGUCGAAUUUCGAGAACCGGGUCUCCGUCGCACGCGGGAGACGACGUCGUGCCUACGUCGUUUGAAUCACCGAGAUGCGUAGGAAGCCGGCCGUGUCAACAGUAAGAUCGCCGUCGAUCGUGUCGCGUGUCUCCUGAGGUAGUGGAACCGGAAGCUGCCCUUGAACCCGGAACCGGCAAAAUGAGGUAUUCGGCAAAUAAGGGCGCACAGUAACGAGGAUGACAAGAAGCUGCUUGAAAUUGGCAGAACGUGAUCCACCGUACCGUAAUUGAAAGUGCUUCCGUGAAACGGUUAACGACGACGAUCCGUUUAGCUAGUGACUACUGAUUGUCGCGAGAUCGAUCGAAUAUCGUGACUUGAAAGACUAAAGAUUCGCGCGGGGAAAAAAGAUUUAUUCGGAAGGGAAUCAUGGUGUGACUCAUGUGCGGACAAUAGAGAUCCUUUUGAAAAGAUCGACGCGGUCAUCCGCGGUGGUUGUGUGAUUCCGGUAGUGAUCGAUUGUAGUGCUGGUGGUGGUGCUUGAUACGCAGCUGCGACUCGGAGACCCGUUGGCGCUUAGGCCUCAUCCUCGUCGGUUUACUCAUGCUGGGAGUGCUGAAGCGGCGCUGGAAGCCAUCGAAAAGGUAAGUCAUCUUGUGACUGA